rnacentral:misc_RNA from 1 species
GCACAAUGUGUUGAAAUCAUGCUCAAGAUGAGGAGCCACGAUUUUAUCCUUAAACAUUUUGAAGGAGCAAAAAUCCGAACCAUCACAACCCGGCAUUGCUAUGGGUUCUUCAUUAUGCAAGACUUGCACAAAGUACUCAUCCGACGAGUUAGCAGGGCAGCUAUAGAGAACCAGCAUGUUAUUCCCAGCAAAAGGUGCAACAGCACUUCCCUUCCAGAUUCUAGUAGCUGGAGGCCGUGGAGGAAGUUGCAAAGACUGCUCCCUUUGUAUUUGUCUAAAUCCAUGUCCUUCUCCUUCAAGGAAGAGCCCGAGCAAACAUGUGAAUGGAAGCACAGUUUCAGCAUGAGCAAAGCGAAGUCUUGCCUUCUCAUAGCUGCCAGGAACUUGCUUUUCUUCUUUGGCUGUGAUAGCUUUCUCCAUGGAUUGAACAAUAUCUUGCAACAAAGGAACUCCCAUUUUAUAGUUUAAUGAAUUGCCA